rnacentral:lncRNA from 1 species
CUGCAUCCUCAUGGAUCCUAGUCGGGUUCGUUUCCGCUGUGCCACGACAAGAACGCCUCACCUUCGCCUUCUGCACACAUGGCAGGGUCGGGGAACAGGGACUGGCUCAGGACAGUCCAAGGCUGAGAACGAAUGACAGGCUGACUUGGACCCGGGAGGCCGAGGGUGGCGGGCUGCCCACUGGCCCCUGUCCCCGCCCUCCCACAGCCCGAACCCUGGCUCAGGAACAAGCUCGGAGCCAGGCUGGUGGAAGGGUGACAUUGUUUGAACUCCAGUUCCCUGGACGUGCCAGGAACUGACAUCUGGAUGUUCUCCAGGCAGGCCUGUCACUCAGCUGUCAGCCCAGGCCGAGCGAGGCGGGGAGAGGGAGCCACCUCUUAGCGGGAAGAAACCGCAGAGGUCCUCCUAUCCGACCUCCCUGCCCUGCCAGCCGGGCGCCAGGGAGGGGAGGGGAGGGGCUGGCACCCUCUCCUCUUCCCUUCUGAUCGGCCGCCUUCCCGUCUGCUCCCCGCAGCGGCCCCAUGCCCCUGUUCACCAUGAAGGGCCCCAAGCCAACAUCUUCCUUCCCCGGGACCUCGGCCCACAAGAAGAGGCGCGUCCUGAGUUCCUCAGUCUCCCGAUCGCUGGGAGUGGCUCCGGGCCGCAGCCGCAUCGCCCGUCUCCCCAGCAGCACCUUGAAGAGGCCAGCGGGACCCCUGGCUGUCCCAGGUGACUGAUGUUUGGGGCUAGGAUGGUCCAGGCCAUAGUGGCCAAUAAAACAGGAAGUAGGAUGGGACAGGGCGGGCCGAGGCCCCAGGGAGAGGAGGGCCUGGGGUCCUUCCAAGCAUCUCAGGGACCCUGAUGGGAGCGGGGGGGUGCUGGGCUGGGGGAGGGGAACAGUGGGACCCAGUCUCUCUUUUCUCCUUCCUUCCUGCCUCCCCGGACACCGACCGGCCUGCAGAGCCCCCCUCCAGUCCCCACUGCCUUGGCCACCAGAGGAGCCAGAAGGAACUGAUGGGGGUUGGGGGAGCGAUGUCAGCUGGCAGCUGCUCCGCCAAGGUGUCCUGACCACCAUGCCCCUCUUGGUCCCGGGAGCUGCCUGCACCAGGAGCCCUGGCCUGCCUUCCUCGGCUCAGAGCAAUUAAUGCCAACGCCCUCUUCCUUUAUUAACCUUCUUCCCCCAGCCAUGCAUUCUGCUCCUCAGCCUCUUUAUUAGUCUCUGUUACACUCGGCUUCUCGGCGUGUAUAUAUUCAUUUGUGAGUGUUAACGUGUUGCUAUUUUAGAGGGUGCUACCACGGUCCCCCUCUAGCUUAUAAUGUCCUCUGUGCAGGAAGGGGGCUUGUGGGGGCUUUCUUGCCCAAAAUGAUGAUGGUGCCUUGACUUCUAAGUGAAGAUAGUUUAUUGUUUUCACCUAUUGUACACAGAAUACACACUCAGCAUAAAGAGAAGUGUAAAGAAGAAAGGGCAAUUUAGCCUUAAUGCUACCACCCAGACGUAAGAGCUGUUAAUACUUAGGUUUAUAUCUUCUGAUCCUUUAUUUCUGUAUAUAUACAUAUAUAUGUGUGGGUAGAUAUAGGUAUAUUUUUUUAUUAUAAUUAAUAAACCAUCUCCAUCCUUG